UCUUAGGUCCUAAUUAGGACCAAAAAAAAAAAAAAAAAAUUUUUUU
rfam:Loxodonta africana unplaced genomic scaffold scaffold_20, whole genome shotgun sequence.